CAAAGGUGCAUCUGAUAAACGCUUGUUCUAGAACGUUCGAAGCCGCGACGGCCAGUCGUCACAAAGAACUGCGGACAUAUAUAUAUAGGGCCAACGGUCACGGCAGGACACUUCGAAGUCGUCCCUCGUAGAAUACAGAUCGAGCCCUUGUCCGCGUUCGUCGCUAGAUAUAUCGAGGCCGAGUCCUCGCGUUCGUGAUUUCGUGCAUACCAGAGACCGAGCUCUCUGGUAAGAGAUAUCGAGACCGAGUCCUCGCGUUCAUGUAAUAAUUUCGAAUAAACUAUAUAAAACAAACGAAACUAGUGUAUGGACCUAAACUCCCACACACACAACACAUACG